AUACGGAGGAUCCGAGCGUUAUCCGGAUUUAUUGGGUUUAAAGGGUGCGCAGGCGGGAGAUUAAGUCGGCGGUGAAAUUUUGCAGCUCAACUGUAAAAGUGCCUUCGAAACUGGUUUCCUUGAGUGUGGAUGAAGUAGGCGGAAUUUGUGGUGUAGCGGUGAAAUGCAUAGAUAUCACGAGGAACUCCGAUUGCGCAGGCAGCUUACUAAGCCAUAACUGACGCUCAGGCACGAAGGCGUGGGGAUCAAACAGGAUUAGAUACCCUGGUAGUCCACGCAGUAAACGAUGAUUACUAGCUGUUUGCGAUACAAUGUAAGCGGCUGAGCGAAAGCGUUAAGUAAUCCACCUGGGGAGUACGUUCGCAAGAAUGAA
rnacentral:rRNA from 1 species